rnacentral:rRNA from 1 species
CUAGACUCCUACGGGAGGCAGCAGUGAGGAAUAUUGGUCAAUGGACGAGAGUCUGAACCAGCCAAGUAGCGUGAAGGAUGACUGCCCUAUGGGUUGUAAACUUCUUUUAUAAAGGAAUAAAACGAGGCACGUGUGCCUUUUUGCAUGUACUUUAUGAAUAAGGAUCGGCUAACUCCGUGCCAGCAGCCGCGGUAAUACGUAGGUGGCGAGCGUUAUCCGGAUUUAUUGGGCGUAAAGCGUCCGCAGCCGGUUUAUUAAGUAUAGAAUAAAACUUCGGGGCUCAACCCCGUCUCGUUCUAUAAACUGAUAGACUAGAGUGUGGUAGAGGCAAGUGGAAUUUCUAGUGUAGCGGUAGAAUGCGUAGAUAUUAGAAGGAACACCAGUGGCGAAGGCGACUUGCUGGGCCAUCACUGACGGUCAGGGACGAAAGCGUGGGGAGCGAAUAGGAUUAGAUACCCCCGUAAC